UACGUAGGAGGCAAGCGUUGUCCGGAAUUACUGGGCGUAAAGCGCGUGUAGGUGGUGGGACAGUCUGCUGUGAAAGCGCCUGGCUUACCGGGCGAGUCGGCGGAAACUGUCCGACUAGAGGACGGUAGAGGGGGUGGAAUUCCCGGUGUAGUGGUGAAAUGCGUAGAGAUCGGGAAGAACAUCGGUGGCGAAGGCGGCCGCU
rnacentral:rRNA from 1 species